GCAUGGCUGUCGUCAGCUCGUUGUCGUGAGAUGUUGGUUUAAGUCCCGCAACCGAGCGCAACCCUUAUCUUUAAUUGCCAGCAUUCAGUUGGGCACUUUAAAGUAGACUGCCGGUGUUAAACCGGAGGAAGGUGGGGAUGACGUCAAGUCCUCAUGGCCUUUAUGCUUAGGGCUACACACGUGCUACAAUGGGUGGUACAAAGAGAAGCCAACUCGCGAGAGCGCGCCAAUCUCAAAAAGCCAUCCUCAGUUCGGAUUGGAGUCUGCAACUCGACUCCAUGAAGUUGGAAUCGCUAGUAAUCGCGGAUCAGCAUGCCGCGGUGAAUACGUUCCCGGGCCUU
rnacentral:rRNA from 1 species